GACUCUCAGCUUCGACUGAGGCCGAGCAGACGUCCCAGUUCCAGGUUUCCGGGCCACACUCCUCCAACCACGGCCAUACCUUUCACACGAGGAACAGAGAGAGGCUGGGAAUUCAGUGGACUUUGGGAUUCUGUAACCCGCACCGAUAAACUUGUGUUUCAUUUUCACCACGAGGAACCCUUGCAGGUACGGAAGGAAGGGAAUUUUUAGGGCUGUCGGGGGAGUUCUGUGCGUGUCGUGCUGUGACUGGAGCUGAGAGGUGAGGAACUAAAGUUGCCAUUGUUUUCUCUGCGCGCUCCGGGAUCACCACACCACGGUCUUCAGAGCCGUCCUGUCCUUACCGCCGUGACAGUACAGCAGCCACGCCGGCUCCUCAGGGCUUCCCGCAGGUGGCCCUUCAUCCCGGUUCACUGCAGGUGACAGCCUGAUGAAGGAAGAGGUCCCCGCAGAGCACGGGUGCUACGUACGCGCCCAGUUCCCAUUGGCAGGGAGCCCGAGCCCUGCCCUGGGGCCCAAGGGCGCGACCACACCCAUCCCCACAUCCCCACUUGGCGGGCCCCUCUUCUGAGAGCACUCCCAGGUCCGACUCUGUAGCAGUCGGGCAGGAGAAGGAGACGAGAAAUAGACACGGUUUCUCAGCAGACGAAAUCGAAUACGAGCAUUUGGUGGCUCAGGGCCCGGAGGGCCGAAGAAACAGAUCGUAUGGCAGAAAGCUGCCGUCCCUAAGGCGAGGGGAAGCGGGGAAGAGGUCGGGCUGAGCAGACACCUAGACGCCAGGAUGAGGGGCCUGGAAGAGGCAGAGCCUGGAUCUCUGAGGAGGGGCUGCCACAAUUUCUCAGGGAAGGCGGAAGCAACCUUAUCCACCACGAGGGGAUAUGGGGCAGGAGAUGAUUUCUGAGGACCAUCUUCCAGGCCAUUGAAGACUUGGGGAGGUGGAGUAGCUUUCUCUCACAAUAACGCAAACAACGCGUAGAUAUCCACGAGCGCCACUCUCUGAUCUCCUGAGAAAUCAAAGGUAAUGCCAGUCUGGGUUUUGAAGUCCCGUCCCCCCCCCCCCCCCCGCCCUGCCCCGGUUAAGCACAAGAGGGGAAGGCGGCUCUCUUUCUCACCCUGCCCCCUUUGCUGUGUGCUGGCCCGAGGAGGCUUCCGUGGGGGAUGGCCACCUGGGCUCACCUCUCAAGCCUCCAGGACAUGCUGAGUGUGCCACACGUUCCCCGGGGACCUCCAAGUGAGGGAGCGAACCGCGCCGUAGAGCACAGCCCCACAGAAGGGGAUCUGGCUUGAGCCCGACGUCCUUGAUCCACACCCCGCCUGGGCCACUUGCCAGCUAGUGGUGCGGAAGAAGCCGUGAAUGGGGAUCACGCCGCGAACAGGCUGCUAGGGCUGCGGGAUGGGAGGAGCCGAGGCACACCGCAAGCACGCAAGGCCAUGACCGCAAAUGAUGUCCUCUGGCCUCUGAGAGUUGCACCCUGGGAAGGUCCACAGGGCCAGUCCUGUCUUCGACAGGCCUGCCGGUUCUCCACCAAGGUGGGCCGUGUCUUCAAGUCGAGGUUGCUGACACGUGUCCCGCUGGGCCUCUGGGGGUCCUGGGCCGGAAGCCUGGGGUGAGCUACCCUUCCAGGGAGGGUGGAUGUGCUCGGCCGGCCCGGAGCCCAGCAGUACCACGACGGUGCAGGGGGAGCGGGGAGCGGUUCCUCUCUCAGCCUGCAGCUAGGGGUGGGGGGAAGGCAGCCCCUCCCUGUUCGCAGCUGCUAGGACUGGAGUCAGGGGGGCGUUGGUCCCCGCUCCCUCAGACCCACUUCUCCUGAUAGCACCAUCCUGCCUUUGUGCCGCGGGGGUCACCCUUCACCAACACGGGUUUUAGGUGGGGUCUCGGUUCUGCCCUCUGACCUUCUGAAAGCCAUUUGCUCCUGGCACCUGGGAACCCCACCCCGGGAGCUCCUCCCCACCCCGGGAGCUCCUCCCUACCCCGGGAGCUCCUCCCCACGGCCCUAGCGCAUCCCUGCUCACCCACCCCUGACUUUGCAUUUGCUCUGCGUCCUCUUCCCCGGGAUUUCUCUUGCUUACCCGCGCGCAACCUAUGCGUGUUUCUCAUUCCGUAUUCGCUGGACUGGCAUCCCUGGAGGGCAGAGGCUGGCUGUCAGAGUGGCACCGCCCCCAGCCCCCAGCCUAGGCAGCACUGCAUCAUGUGACCGGCGCCCAGGGCCACAGCCAUUGGCCCAGCGGGUCAACCUACCAGCCCGGGUCACCGAGGACUUGGCAACAGGCUCACCAAUGCCACCCCGAGUCUCCUUACUGUCAUCA